rnacentral:rRNA from 1 species
CGACCGCCGUGGGUGGAUGAAGUAAUCUCGGUACGUAAAACCCUUUACGACGGGGAAGUAAAUGGCCGCAAGGCUUUGACGGUACCCGUAGAAGAAGCCCCGGCUAACUCCGUGC